CCCUGACUGCAGCCCCACAGCAGCUGAAACUGAAACAGUACGUUCCUCAGCUCCCGACUUUCUCCAACAGGUCAGCUCCACUCCGCUCCGCCUCUCAGCAUGGUAGGCUGUUCUGCAAUCCCCGGUCUGUAUUUAUAGGUGCUCCUCAGCUCCUGGCAGACUCCUGCAGGUCCACUUCGACUCCCAGCAAGCAGAGCCAUGAGAAUCAACCCGGCAUGCCAUGAACAUUCCUCCAGUGUGUCUUUGGUGUCAAGCUCCAGCAUCUUCUGCUCCUCAGAAGUCCAUGAUGUGGACAAGGCCUUGACAAGGAAACCGUACCAGAGAAGUGAAGGUUGCAAAAGACAUAUCGAAAAUUGAGCGUGAAGAAAAAUGGAGCACCAGCCCAAGGGGAAGGCACCAAGAUUCAGUGAUACCAUGCUGUUGUAAAAUUGGAUAUGUUGUUGGAAAAAGAUGUUAUGGAGAGGUUUUUGUGGGUGGCUUUUAUUAUUGGCUGGUGGCUAAGGGAACACUAUAAUGGGGCAUCUCAGCUGGAUGUAAGGGUGAACAAUGGUAAAUUAGUGUGGAGAAGUUGUUUCAUGGGAACAUAGGAACCAGAGAAGGCCAUUCAGCCCCUUGAGCCUGCCAUUGAAUAAUGUGACCUAAUUCCAUAUACCUGCCUUUGCCUCAUAACAAAGAAUACUUUCUGAUAACAAAAAUCUCUUAAUUUCAGAUUUAAAAUUUUCUCUUGAUCUAGCAUCAUAUUGCCACUUGCAGAAGAGAGUUCCAAACUUCUACUACUCUUUGUGUGUAUGAGUGUUUCCUAAUUUCACUGCUGAAAGGUCUCGUUCUAAUUUUUAGGCCAUGCUCCUCUAGUCCUAGUCUCCUCAACCAAUAGAAACAGUUUCUCUCUAUCUACCCUAUCUGAUCCUCUUAAUAUCUUGAAAUUUAAGCUUGAUGAUUUGCUCUCUCACAGACAAGGGGUCCAGGAUACUUCCUCCCUGACACCUCCUGUUUCUCCUCCUGUUCCUUCUCCUACUGAGUUGGCCUCUGGAUCCUGGCGAUAAUGGCUGCACCAUCAUAAUGGUGAAGUUGUAUAGAGCGCAGCCAACCACCACAAACUUUAAGAUCCACUCUGGGCUGGACUGGAAUGCAGUGCUUCCUGGGCAAUCAAGGCAUAAGAAGUGUUGUUCCAAGUGCUUCUUGCAGGCCUGCCCUACUCAAGUGUUGGGAUUGUGGAGGGGAAUCACCAGCCAUGUAGAAAGAGAUUAGCCCCUGUCCCCGGGCAGCCAGCCUCUGGUUCCUCUAGGAAGGCCAAAGACAGUGGUUAGGGCUGACUGGCAUAGGAGGAAUUCAUCAUGGCUGCAUUCGCCAAAUGAUGAUCUAGGAAGGGUCACACACCAACUGCACAUUUAAGGAAUGGAAGAUCUUGCAGUUCCUAAGCCUCUCCCCACUGACAUGGGGGCCUGCAAAAACACAUGGGUGCUGCCGAUUGUACACUCUGCAUCACUGGGAUCGUGCUAUCCUAGAUGGCAUACUGGGAAGUAUUAAUGUCUCCCAUUCCCCAACUGUGAGAUGUAAACAUUGGGGGCGAUGGUGACCUUUAUGGUCACAGGCAGAGUUGUCCUCGCCUUGGUGUGAGGUUCCAGGUCGGUUGGAAAGAGGUGGCACACUUUACUGACCACCUCCUUAUUGAACCUGGGUUGCCUCAGGUGUAGGUACAAGAAAAUCCUUGGCGUGUACAGCCUUCUUUGUAGAGUCCUCCUCCUCCUUCCUCACACAGCUUCCCCAUCUGCUCUGUUUCCUGGUCCUGUUGCAGAACCAGAAAUGCUGUAACCAUAGUCCCCAAAACUGAGUCAGGUAUUCCUCUGUACUCGCUGAUUGUAAGCACCAACUCUGAAACCAACUCCAGAAAAAAAGCACAGCAAUUCCAGUAACUCAGCCCUGGCAUAAGUAAAUCAAACAACUCACCUGCAACCUGUUGACUGGCCCUCUAAAUAGUGCUGGUGCUGCUGAAUGCUUGAUCUUUGUUGCGUGAUGUGCAAAUUCAUUGAAUGGACCUGGGUGCUCCAAAUCUAGAAAAUGGGCAUCGCAUCAGCUGGUUGAGCUCUGUAGCAUCAUGACCUCAUCCUGUUCCAUUUUCUCUGGCGCUUGCAGGCGCACCUGCCUGAGUGCCAUUCUCCAGCUGGUGGUGAAGCGCCAGGAGUUCUGGAAGCCAUUGGCAGUGCAGUGCAAAUCCCCAGCAGGAUGUUUAACUUCAGUAGUGCUGUCUCCACUGAUGCUACCGGUCAAAAUUCACACCUAAAAUGUCAAUAUUCAGAUUUUUAAAAAUCUCAGUAUAAGACCUCCAUUGUUUUGGUGCACUGGAGUACGUGUCAUAAGAUUUUGUUGAAGUGAUUAAGAUUCCUGUGGUUGAACAUUCCUCCAGUAUGCUACCCAAAGGAAGGGCUGUAGCAGCAUAAAAGGGUGGAAAUCCAGCGAAGAGGACCCCCAGUGCUGAACUUAGACAUAUGUAACGGAUGUCACGGAGGUGGGCUUAGAAAUCUGCACAAAGUUUCUUGCUUUCUAGCAGUACUGCCACUGAUUCCGGGCACCACCAGGGAAGUAUAGUGGGUGUCCUUGGGAAGCAGUGGAAGGCCUUCUGAUGGCUCUUUUGUUGGGAUGCGGCGCAGCAAUAUAGUCACCUAUCCCUUUUCUUCGGCCCCAAACCAUACUUCCUCUAGAUCUUGACUCAGUAUGAAGUCUAAAAAAAAAUCUUCAGGUCUUAGGAUCCCUUUUGGCUUGCCCCUCCUCUUCUGGUGCUCCAGCAGUGUCCCAUUGCAGUAUUGCUGUAUUUUUGUUCCUGCAGUGGUAGGGUCCCUCUUAGUUAUAUUAAUCCUAAUGGGAGCCCGGUGUGUGUGGUUUACCAGCCCAGAUCCAAGAAAAUGGGUUAGGGCAAUGGCAGAGUUGGAGCAGCAAGCUUAGGUCCUGUCCCAACUCACCUUUGGUAGAAAACACACCCUAGAGAAAAUCUAACCCAUGGAAUUAAUAGCAAAUUAGCUGAUUAGAUCUUCGUAAUGGAAAGAAGAAGGUAUAAAGGUAUCAAGGUGAAAGAAGGUAUCAAAGGUAUAAAGUUCUAAGUGGGUUUGGGAAGUAACUGACGGAGCUCUACAGGACCUAUUUUUCGUGUUCAAUUCACGCUACUAUAAAUGAUGGAGAAAGGUGUACUACUAGCAAUGUUAUAUAAGUUGCAAAAGUGGCAAUGUAACAGUGAUGAAGAAGAGUUAGAGGGACUGAAGCAAUGAAAUAAAUAAAGAACAACAGAUGAAUAUUGUAUAAAUAUAACAACAUAGUUGUAUGUGCAACUUUUGUAUACCAUAAAGAGGUAUCCAUUAGCAAAGCUGGAAAAUAAAAAAAAAUGCUUGAAUAUUGA